rnacentral:rRNA from 1 species
UACGUAGGGUCCAAGCGUUAUCCGGAAUCACUGGGCGUAAAGCGUUCGUAGGCGGGUCUUUAAGUGAGAUGUGAAAGCGUGUGGCUCAACCAUAUCGUUGUGUCUCAUACUGGGUACCUGGAGGAAGGCAGAGGCAAGUGGAAUUGGCAGUGUAGCAGUGAAAUGCGUAGAGAUUGCCAGGAACACCAAUGGCGAAGGCAGCUUGCUGGGCCUUUUCUGACGCUGAGGAACGAAAGCGUGGGGAGCGAACAGG